CCUACGGGUGGCAGCAGUAGGGAAUCUUUGGCAAUGGACGGAAGUCUGACCGAGCAACGCCGCGUGAGUGAAGAAGGUUUUCGGAUCGUAAAGCUCUGUUGUAAGAGAAGAACGAGUGUGAGAGUGGAAAGUUCACACUGUGACGGUAUCUUACCAGAAAGGGACGGCUAACUACGUGCCAGCAGCCGCGGUAAUACGUAGGUCCCAAGCGUUGUCCGGAUUUAUUGGGCGUAAAGCGAGCGCAGGCGGUUAGAUAAGUCUGAAGUUAAAGGCUGUGGCUUAACCAUAGUACGCUUUGGAAACUGUUUAACUUGAGUGCAAGAGGGUAGAGUGGAAGUCCAUGUGUAGCGGUGAAAUGCGUAGAUAAAUGGAGGAACACCGGUGGUGAAAGCGGCUCUCUGGCUUGUAACUGACGCUGUGGCUCGAAAGCGUGGGGAGCAAACAUGAUUAGAUACCCCUGUAGUC
rnacentral:rRNA from 1 species